GCUCUGUCCAUUUUUGUUGACAUUCCCCUCUAAUAAUUGGAGGUGAUUUUAAUGAUAUAUUACCGGUGAAAAUAGAAGUGGAGGGGAUGAGGACCAGAAGGUAGAUAGAACUUCUCGCCAGCUUAAACCCUCUGACCCGGGUUAUAUACGUGGUAUAGCGGCCAGGUCAGCUCCCGCUUUGGUUUUGUCCUUUUCUGGUUGUAAUCUCCAGGACGUGUUUUUAGAAGAUGAUUUGUUUUCAGACCAUAAGCUUUUAAAAACAAACUUUUUAACUCCUAAUGAAUCUAAAUGGUGGAAACUCUCUUUAUCGUUACUAGAAGAUGAACAACUCUGGAAUAAUUCUAAGGUCUCAUAUGGGCGAUGGCGGCGCCAGAAAGACCCAAGUCAGAGUUUUUUGGGACUGGUGGGAAACCAGAAGUCCAAGAUUAAGAAUUUUUUUUAUUGCUGCUGGCAAGAGGAAGAAAAAAGAGCGCAAGCGAGUUUUUAAAGAUCGUAAUGUGCGUCUACAAACUCUUUUUUUAAGUUGAAAGAGGCUGGUUUAAGCAUUACUGACAAACUGAUUUUUAAUUUAAAGAAGGAGAUUAAAAAGGUUUUAGAUUUUAAA